rnacentral:lncRNA from 1 species
UGCUAUUUCAUCAUUUUCUUUAUUUCUUUUCUCUACACUCACAUGGGCGUAAUGUGUCGUCAACCAACAUUAUACAAAUUCCAAGACUGUGACCAUAAAUCCAUAAAUUCAUAAAUUCAUACAGAUAGUAAAUCGUUAGUUUGAUAACUUGAAAAACAAUUAAGUGCUAAUAUAUAUUUGGAUUACAUGUUCAAACAGGUAUUGUCAUCCAACAGAUUCAUACAGACACAUGUAUUUUUUUCCCACUAAUAGUCUCAGGGACUACUAUAUCAAGUUGUAGGCGUCAACUGUCUCAGCUUAUGCACAUUCCAAACCAAUUCACAUAUUAAUCGAGCUUUUACGAUUGAAUCACACCGUCCUUUUCUUAAUUUUCUUUAGAUACGUUUCACGGUCAAACUAUUAGCAUGCUUAUUUCCUGAAACACAAACCAAAUUUGAUAUUAUUUUUGGUCAAACUCCUUUUACUACAGUUCUAUAGCGUGUAAACUAAAUACUGCAAAUGUAUCACUUCAUUGCAAACUAAAUCCUCUUCGGACAAAAAAAUGAAAAAUAAUACAAUUUUGAUCCUUGUUACAUUACUUUUUCCUUUUCCGGUAUCUGUUAAUUUUUUUUCUAGUAGUGUCUUAGUAAUUCUCAAAGGACUAUUACAUACUUUUUUAAGGUGUCCAUCCCCUUCAUUUCAAAUGUGCAUCCAACUUUUGUUUGAAAGUGAACAAAUGUGCAUCCAACUUGAAUUCACAUGUAAUGAUUAAAGUGUCUUGAAAUAAAACUUACAAAUAAUUCUUUUUCAGUUGUUUUACAAAACCCAUUAUUGGAGCUAGAUGCAUGAAAUAACAACAAAUUAUCAUUUAAUUGUAUAUUAUAGCAUCUUACUUAAGUUUUUUCUAUAUAAUACAAUAUACUUGCAUUUUUUAAUCUUAUUAAGUUUGUGCAAAAUGAAUCCAGUUAUUGCAUAGUACUUUAACUUAUUUUCUUAGUACAACAUUGUACUUUGAAAUUUCUAACCAACAAUAGCAAUGAAAGUUGCUUCGUAUAUAUAUGGGAUUUAAAUAUUGAAAGUAGGGUACUAUAAAAUAAGACAAAGAAAAGUAUGUUUAACCCAACCCCAUUUUAUUUAAAAAAUUAAACUUUAAAAGGGAAAAAUGAAAAAAUCUAUCAUGUUGUUAUAGUAAAAUGGAGAUAUUACUCUUGUCUAAGAGACACAUUUUAUCAACCAAUAUAACAUCAUGUGUGUAUGUCAACAGAUGCAAGAUCACCAUAUCCAUCCCCAAUGUAAAUUGUAUUACUAUCUAGAUCUUUAGUGACUACUUUAAUCGAUGUUUAGUGAAAAUCAAAUGAUAUUACAGGUCUCUUGAGCAACCAUUUCACACAGAAGUGAAAACCAAUUGGAUACAUGUAAUUUAGAUGAGGUUAUAAUUCAUAAACAAAGAACAUAAACAUAAAUUAAUGCAUCAAAGUAUCUUUGACACAUAUAUGGGUUGCUACCAUUCAACAAAAUUCUUUAUUUUUUGAACUUUUUUGAAACCCAUUCAAAACCACACACAUACGAUCAAAUACAUACAGUCACACAAGCAUAAUUACCCACGUUCACAUACGAACACACGCACAACUAUAUACAUAAACUCAAACACAAUUCAUGAAAACUUUCAACUCUUGUGAGUGCAAGGAAGGUGAAAAGAGAUAUAAAAGUGGAUUGAACUUCUAAAAUUGAUAGAAAUGAUAACAAAAAAUAUAAUCAAAUAAAAUUAGGAUCGAACUUAAAAAAACUGAUAAAAAUCAAAACACAAACAUAAACAAAUCAAAUAACUCACCUGUUGUCAAUGAAAGUUAAUGUGAAAUAGCCUCCUUUGAGUCGACAACUAAUACAGAGAACAAAAGUUAUAGGGUUCAAAUCGAUGGUAAUAGAGAGAAGGAAAAUCUCUUGAUUCUAUCACUUCAACAACAAUCAAAGAAACGCUAAGAAAGGAAUAUAGACAGAAGCGGCUUAUAUAAGGUGCGAUCAAGUUAGCAUAUGAAGCCCGAUUCAAAUUUGUUAAUUGUUUUCCUUCCUGAUUUUUUUGUGAUUUCCUUACUGAUUUCCUGGUGAUCUAUUGUGAGAUAAUAUCAUUGUUUGAAAUUCAAAAUCCUGAAAUGGAGGAACGUAAUUACUAAUGGCCAAUGGGUAUAUGAUAACUGAAGGGUAUUUUGGGAACUUCACAUUGAAACAUCGAGGGCUUACCCAAUUUCCAUGUGGCAACUGGGUACUCAUUUAUUAGUGCUAAAAAAUGGAAUCAAAAUGAACAAAGACCUAUCACUAACGAACAAUAUUGGAAUCAAAAUGAUGCAACCAAGCAAAAUUGAGAGAAUAAAGAACCAAUAAGAGAAGGAAAAAGAGAUUUUACAAGUAGAAACGAACCUUGAUGAUGAAGCAGUUGAGUGUUAGAUUCGGAGGGUUUACUGAAAUCGAUCGGGGGAGGAACAGACUUAUGUUUACCUAAGUUGUUGGAGAAAAUGACCGUCAAUUUCUGAUUCUUCGUUGUUCCAUAGCCAGAUAUGUGUUUCGCAGAAAGAGACCAAUGAAACUAUUUAAGAAUACUAUAAUCCAGAAAAAAAUGAAGUUUCAUAGUAAAACAUACCGUGCUUGUAAUCUCAGAGCUGAUGGUAGAGAUUGAUUGUUGGCUCUGCUCAAUUUCCGGUUACAAAAUUAGGGUUAAAAUGAAAGGGUAUGGAUUUGUAAUCAUAUAAAUAAAGAGACUGAUAAAUAAUUUUGGAAACGAUUACCUUCAUGUAACGCCCCAAAAAUAC